rnacentral:rRNA from 1 species
ACGCUGUGCUUUCUCACCACCGGAGCUUGCUCCACCGGGAAAAAGAGGAGUGGCGAACGGGUGAGUAACACGUGGGUAACCUGCCCAUCAGAAGGGGAUAACACUUGGAAACAGGUGCUAAUACCGUAUAACAAUCGAAACCGCAUGGUUUUGAUUUGAAAGGCGCUUUCGGGUGUCGCUGAUGGAUGGACCCGCGGUGCAUUAGCUAGUUGGUGAGGUAACGGCUCACCAAGGCGACGAUGCAUAGCCGACCUGAGAGGGUGAUCGGCCACAUUGGGACUGAGACACGGCCCAAACUCCUACGGGAGGCAGCAGUAGGGAAUCUUCGGCAAUGGACGAAAGUCUGACCGAGCAACGCCGCGUGAGUGAAGAAGGUUUUCGGAUCGUAAAACUCUGUUGUUAGAGAAGAACAAGGAUGAGAGUAACUGUUCAUCCCUUGACGGUAUCUAACCAGAAAGCCACGGCUAACUACGUGCCAGCAGCCGCGGUAAUACGUAGGUGGCAAGCGUUGUCCGGAUUUAUUGGGCGUAAAGCGAGCGCAGGCGGUUUCUUAAGUCUGAUGUGAAAGCCCCCGGCUCAACCGGGGAGGGUCAUUGGAAACUGGGAGACUUGAGUGCAGAAGAGGAGAGUGGAAUUCCAUGUGUAGCGGUGAAAUGCGUAGAUAUAUGGAGGAACACCAGUGGCGAAGGCGGCUCUCUGGUCUGUAACUGACGCUGAGGCUCGAAAGCGUGGGGAGCAAACAGGAUUAGAUACCCUGGUAGUCCACGCCGUAAACGAUGAGUGCUAAGUGUUGGAGGGUUUCCGCCCUUCAGUGCUGCAGCUAACGCAUUAAGCACUCCGCCUGGGGAGUACGACCGCAAGGUUGAAACUCAAAGGAAUUGACGGGGGCCCGCACAAGCGGUGGAGCAUGUGGUUUAAUUCGAAGCAACGCGAAGAACCUUACCAGGUCUUGACAUCCUUUGACCACUCUAGAGAUAGAGCUUCCCCUUCGGGGGCAAAGUGACAGGUGGUGCAUGGUUGUCGUCAGGCUCGUGUC